rnacentral:misc_RNA from 1 species
AACUAACGCUAUUAUUGAUACAGUUUCUGUACUUCAUUGGUAUGAGAAGCUUCCAGGAACUUCCUGUGCAGGGUGCAAGCCCUUAGCACCGGGAUCUUCUGGUAAAUUUUGGAGGGAGGGUCUUCGGACCCUC